AGGAUAUUAGUUUAAAAAAAACACUUAAAUUGCAUUUAAAAAAUAAUAAAUUUAUUAUAUCUUA
rnacentral:tRNA from 1 species